UACGGAGGGUGCAAGCGUUAAUCGGAAUUACUGGGCGUAAAGCGCGCGUAGGCGGUUUGAUAAGUCGAUUGUGAAAUCCCCGGGCUCAACCUGGGAAUGCAGUCGAGACUGUCAGACUAGAGUGUGGGAGAGGGUGGUGGAAUUCCCGGUGUAGCGGUGAAAUGCGUAGAUAUCAGGAGGAACACCGGUGGUGUAGACGGCUUACUGGACCAUAACUGACGCUGAGACACGAAAGCGUGGGUAGCAAACAGG
rnacentral:rRNA from 1 species